rnacentral:rRNA from 1 species
AAUUUUAGUGAAAAUUUUAGGCCACACUUCUAAUGUGUUGUUUUUAUAAUUAUAAAAACUAGGACACUUUAAAAGUGUGGUCAUAUAUGUAAAUAGUUGUUGUCAUAUAUGUCAUAUUAUGACAACACUGAUAAAGUGUAGCCAAUACCAUUAAAGAGUAUGCUUUACAAGUGUUGCCAAUAUUAUUGUUGCCAAAAAGUUAAAAUUUUAGGCUAUAUUUUAAAAUCCAUCCCAAAUAUAUUUUAGGAAACACUUUUUAAGUGAAUGUCGCAUGGAGGUAGAAGUCCCAGGGGUCGUGAACUUCUCUUCCCGUAAAAGAAGCAAUGACGGUAUCAGGGGAAUAGGCAUCGGUUAACUAUGUGCAAGCAGUCGCAGUAAUAUAGAGGAUGCAAGCGUUAUCCAGAAUGAUUGGGCACAAAGCGUCUGUAGGUGGCUUUUUAAGUCCGCGAUCAAAUCCCAGGGCUCAAUCCAUGAUAGGUGGUUGAAACUACCAAGCUGGAGUACGGCAGGGGCAAAGGGAAUAUCUGGUGGAGCAGUGAAAUGCGUAGAGAUCGAAAAGAACACCAACGACGAAAGCAUUCUAUUGGGCCGACACUAACACUCAGAGACAAAAGCUAAGUGAGCGGAUGCUAUUCGAUAUCCCACUAGGCCUAGCUGUAAACGAUAGACAAUAGGCGCUGUGUGUAUCGACCCUUGCAGUGAUGUAGGUAACGCAUUAAGUAUCCCGCCUUGGGAGUACGUUUUCGCAAGAAUGAAACUAAAAGGAAUUUAUGGGGGCCCACACAAGCGGUGGAGCAUGUGGUUUAAUUCGAUGCAAAGCGAAGAACCUUACUAGGGCUUCACAUGCCGCGAAUCCUCAUAAAAGAGGGGGGCGCCUUCGAGAACACGGACACAGGUGGUGCAUGGUUGUCGUUAGCUCGUGUACUAAGGUGUUGGGUUAAAUCCAGUAAUUAGCGCAACCAUCAUGUUUAGUUGCCAUCAUUGAGUUUUAAAUGCUGAACAAACUGCCAAUGAUAAGCCGAAGGAAGGUCAGGAUGACAUCAAGUCAUCGUGCCCCUUAUGCCUGGGUGACACAUGUGCUACAAUGGCUCGGAUAAAAGUUCAUGAUCCCGUGAGGGUGAUCUAACCCCAGAAACAUGUCCAUAGUUUGGAUUGCAGGCUGCAACACGCCUGCAUGAAGUUGGAAUCACUAGUAAUUGCCGGUCAUCCAUACGACGGUGAAUUUGUUCCCGGGCCAUGUACACACCGCCUUUCACACUAUUGGAACUGGAGUGAGCUCGUAACAAGGUUGUUGUAAUGGAAGGUGCGGCUUGAUCACCUCUU